GCUACGGGAGGCAGCAGUGAGGAAUAUUGGUCAAUGGGCGCGAGCCUGCACCAGCCAAGUAGCGUGAAGGAUGACUGCCCUACGGGUUGUAAACUUCUUUUAUAAAGGAAUAAAGUGAGGCACGUGUGCCUUUUUGUAUGUACUUUAUGAAUAAGGAUCGGCUAACUCCGUGCCAGCAGCCGCGGUAAUACGGAGGAUCCGAGCGUUAUCCGGAUGUAUUGGGUUUAAAGGGAGCGUAGGCGGGCCUUUAAGCCGGCGGUGAAAGCGCGGGGCUCAACACCGCCGAGCCGUCGGAAAGUGGGGCAUUGAGUGCGGCGUAGGCAUGCGGACUGCGCGGUGUAGCGGGGAAAUGCAU
rnacentral:rRNA from 1 species